rnacentral:rRNA from 1 species
UUCUAAUUAACUAGUCCGCCCAAUAAAAACCAAAAAUUAUCAAAUAAACCCCCAUGGCCUCACACCCACGAAUUAAAACAUUCUUCAUCCUCAGUAAAGGCGAUUGAAAAGGAACCAGGAACAAUAUAACAAGUACCGCAAGGGAAUGUUGAAAUAGAGAUGAAAAAGCCCAGUUAAGAGCAGCGAAGCAGAGAUUAAACCUCGUACCUUUUGCAUCAUGAUUUAGCAAGAAAAAUUAGGCAAGAAGCUCCUUAGUCUAAAACCCCGAAACUUAGUGAGCUACUCCAAACCAGCAUAAUUAUUUAGUGCCUACCCGUCUCUGUUGCAAAAGAUGUGGGGAGAGUUUUGAGUAGAGGUGACAAGCCUACCGAACUAAGUUAUAGCUGGUUUUCUGAGAAAUGAAUAUAAGUUCAGCCUUUAAAAUUCUUCAUUUCCUUACCCCUAAAUGAACAAAAGAAUAAAAAGAAAUUUAAAGAGUUAAUUAAAGGGGGGACAGCCCCUUUAAUACAAGAAACAACUACUAUUAGAAGGGUAAAGAUCAUAUAUAACUAAGGUUAAUUACUCAUGUAGGCCUAAAAGCAGCCAUCAAACCAGAAAGCGUUAAAGCUCGCGUAAAUCCCCUCCAGAAAUGACGAAAAACAAUUCUUAACCCACUACAAACACUAUCAGAAUAUCUUAUAAUUUAUAAGAGAAAUAAUGCUAAUAUUAGUAAUAAGAGAACAGACUCUCUCCUUACACAAGUGUAACUCGCAAUGGACUAACCCCCCGAGAAAUAACGGCCCCAAACAAUAAAGAGGGAAUAGAAACCAAAACCAAAACCCAGAAAACCUUACUGACUAUUACCGUUAACCUUACACUAGAGUGUACCCAAGGAAAGAUUAAAAAGAAGAGAAGGAACUCGGCAAAUUCUAAGCCCCGCCUGUUUACCAAAAACAUCGCCUCUUGCCAUACCCAUAUAAGAGGUCGUACCUGCCCAAUGAUACACAUUUAAUGGCCGCGGUAUUCUGACCGUGCAAAGGUAGCGUAAUCACUUGUCCUUUAAAUGAGGACCCGUAUGAAUGGUUUGACGAGGGCUUAACUGUCUCCUCUCCUAAAUCAAUGAAAUUGAUCUCUUCGUGCAAAAGCGAAGAUAAAAACAUAAGACGAGAAGACCCUGUGGAGCUUAAGAUAAAAAUAUAGACUUAGACCAGAGACUUUAAAAAUAAAUAAAGCCAAAAACUUUUAUAUAAUAUCUUCAGUUGGGGCGACUACGGAGAAUAAAAAACCUCCGCGAAGACAAGAACAUAAAUUCCCAAAACUUAGAAACACCCUUCAACCCAAUAGAAUUUCUAACUUUUAUUGAUCCAACCUGUUGAUCAACGGAAAAAGUUACCCCAGGGAUAACAGCGCAAUCCCCUUUCAGAGUCCCUAUCGACAAGGGGGUUUACGACCUCGAUGUUGGACCAGGACAUCCUAAUGGUGCAGCCGCUAUUAAGGGUUCGUUUGUUCAACGAUUAAAGUCCUACGUGAUCUGAGUUCAGACCGGAGUAAUCCAGGUCAGUUUCUAUCUAUAAAAUGUUCUCCUCUAGUACGAAAGGACCGAGUAGAAAAGGUCUAUACUACAUGUAAACCUUACUUAAAAUUAACGAAAUCAACUUAAACAAUCAAAAAAGCAUACUAACCUAGCUAAAGAAAAUAGCA